GGGAGGUCAGGCAGCUUAGGGAAGGGGUGGCAUCUCUGUCCUUCCAUUUCUUCAGUCAGAGGCUAGAUGACCCACUGCCCCUCUCUGGGCCUCAGUUUCCUUCUCUCUAAAAAGUGUGGGGGUUGGGCCAGAGGCCUCCCAAGUCCCUUCAGAUUCUAAAGUUCUAUGGUUCUAGCAUCACUUAAGAGCCUCUGCCCUGGUCGUGGCUCAUUUGGAAUUCGCACACUGAACCCUGGGCUGCCUUCUGCACUGCACUUCCCUCUUCUUGGCCGUGCUCACAGGUUUGUGAGAAGCAACGAGAUGCCGGUGGAGAAGCUGGGCCAGGACCCCCGGACCCUCCUGCUGACCUCAGGACCGAGCUACCCCUUGGAAGGCCCAAGCAACGCCAUCUGCCCUCCUGCCUCCGCCGCCAGGCCAGGCCCCGUGAUCCCUGCCCUGGCGCCCUGGCCCGACAACUUCCUGCUGGGCCCCUGUGAGCCCCUGCCGGGCCAGGUCCAGGAAGCAGCCUACGGCCAAGCACUGGAGCUCCUGCCACCCGUGCCAGGAAUGUCGCACGAGCCGGCUGCCACAGGGGCGCUCUCCCCUGGACCCCUCUCUGCCUUCUGGGAUCCCAGGUCCUCAGGUUUCCAAGCUCCAGCGGGCAGGAUUGCCCCCAGGGUGGGCAUGGACCCCCGCCCUGAAGUGGUCCUCGGCCAGCCGGGCUUAGAGGUGGGCAGCUUCAUGCUUCGAGAACAGCAGCUCAGACCCCUCGAAUGCGUCCUUCCACAAAGUUCCUCAGAGAUGGGGAUGGAGAAGCCGCCGAGCCCGCGCCAGAUUUCCAGCCUGGAUGAGCCCCGGGACAUGGAGUACGGCCAGAUCCACCUGGCCCCUGCGGGGAGCGCCGGCGCAGCCUUGGAGGAUCUGGAUGUGAGCAAAGAGGAGGCGGAAGCAGUGACUUCUGUGCGGGUUCCGGGGGAGUCCCUGAACGAGCAGAACUCCAGCGACACUUUCUGGGCCGCUCUGCUGCUCUUCGAGUUUUCUGGGGGCAACCGCGUGUGAGGCGCUCCUGCUUGGCUCAGCUUUCCUCCAUGUUGGAGAGGAAUGCCAAAGCCACCCUUGCGGCUCCCCGGGGCCAGGUUUCUGUUCCGAUGGUGAAUCUGGGGGGCCUGUUGGCCCCUCCAGCUUGGUUUGUUACGGUGUUUCCAGGGAGGGCAGUUUGGCUCUCCCGAUUUGUCAGCUUCUCGUUCACAAGGAUGCUGUGUCCAGGCAGACCCUCGGAGGUGGGCCUCCCGUGGGGCCCAGUUUGGUCCUGGCUAAUUUUUUCCUACGUGCCUAAGGUUAGAGGGAGGCUCCGUCCUUGCCUCCAGGGUUCUGGGUCCUCCUUGUUUCCGUCUUUACUGCAAGCUUCCAAGAGAGCGAAGGAAGCCCAAGGCUCUCGAACCCUAGCAUCAGCCGCCCUCCAGGUUGGCUCUUGCCGUCCUUCUCAGGGAAAACCACCAGCCGGGCUGUUGGUCCUCUUCGGGGCAUCAAGACCAGGAUUGUCGAGGCUCCUGCAGGGGGCCCCCUUUUGUGGCAAUCCUGGUUUGGGGGGUCAGGAAGAAGGGGGAGAUGUUGACUUCCAUUUCUGAUGAAGUACGUUUGCCAAAUAAAGGUUGUUGAAAGCACA
rnacentral:lncRNA from 1 species